UCAUGCUCUGUCUCUCUCUGUCUCGAAAAUAAAUAAACGUUAAAAAAAAAAUUAAAAAAAAAAAAAGAAUUUAGCUAGAUUGUUGUGGGACACUUUCUCAUUCUCCAGCAGGUUACUUUCAUCAGCAUGGUAGACCAGUUAGGAUCCAAAUAUUUAUGGAUGAUUUUCCAUAGGAGUUUGUCUGUCUCAAAGAUCUCUCCCUGACAGGGACAAUAUUGAUAUUCCUUUAUAGCAACUAAGAUGCACCACAAAAUACUUUGAGACCUUGUACUGUCUGAAUGACUACAGCUGGCAUAAUAAACUGCAGGAGGGGCUGAGUCACGAGGCAGCCCGACUGUUGCUAUUUCUCCUUAAUUAGCAUAAUAUGCCUUGCUUCAUAACCUCCACACUGAACUCACUAAAGCUCUAAGGAUUUCCCAGGCUCCUGAGUGUGACAAUUGAAAAUCCCUUCCUUUCAAGCUAGAUGUCAGUGUGUUUCUCUAGGACUGUGGUCCGACCAAGGUCAGAACGUUCUUCUAACCCAGAAUAGGUCUUUGUACUAGUUGACACAGCCAUAUUUUUGUGCUGAUUCCUCAAACCCCAAUUUCCGAAGAGUGCUGAGAAGAAGGCUGGAUGAUACCUGCAUAAGCAGGUGUGUGUGGAGAGGAACCCUGAGCUAGGUAACCUGCAUCUUUUAUAACAGGCAACGUUACCACCCUUGCUCCAGGGGAGAAGACUACCUGUACCUUCUAAGACUGUUCACUACACAAACACUGGAUAGUCCAGAACAAAGGGCAUUCAGUGCCUCAGAAAUAUGAAGGUCUCAUGGAGAAUUGUGUCCCAAUUAUUAAUGGGGAAAAAAGUCUAGAAAUUCAGCUGAUUUUUAAAGUCCCUAAAAUAUUGUCCAAUUUACCUUUUUAAAGACGGUCCAACUAGUAUUCCUUUCCACAUACUCUGCCUGCAGGUAAACUGGUCUUUUUACUUCUUGAACAUAUCCAAUAUUGACCCAACUUCUAGGUUACAGAAAACAAAGAAAAACCACAAAAAACUUCUUGCAAAUAAAAAUUAACACCACAAAUCUAAAUUCAUACUUUUAUUUUGUACAUCCUUCACUGUGAUGAUUCUUUUACACUAUGCUUAUCUAGCCUUUUGACAUGUUGCCUUGAAGGUGCUUUAAAUUCUUUACCAUAUAUAUUUACUGUUUCCAAAACAAAAUAGUGAGCUUCUUGGGAGUGUAAACUAUAUUUUUCCACGAGUCAAUAUUCCUAAUUCAAUUCCUCUUAACAAAUGCUACCUACUCACUAAUAUAUAAUGCCACUGUCUUUAAGUCCCUGAUAAAUAUAUUCUAUAUGAGGAGGGAACUAAAGAUUCCUAUUUUUCCCACUGAGAUCCAGAAUUAAACAGUCAACAGACCAAAGUAGACCUCUGUAAUUCAAAUGUCACACUGCAAUUUCAAAUUGGCAGCCUUCCUUGAGUUUCAUUUUACUUGCCAAGGAAACAAUGAAGCGCUUAUUCUGAUGCCAGCAGAACUGUGGGAAGGGACAGAGAGAUUUGUAUUUCCCUGAAUUUAUAAUCUGCAGAAGAGAACAACUACAGGAACCAAAGUGGCACAUGUUAUACGAUUACUUUAAUAAUUCUAUAAUUCUACAACUAAUUGAAUCUUGGAAAAUACAAAGUGAUGCAUAUGAUUGCAAAAAUGCUAACCAGGAGUUAUAGAAAUGAAAAGAGAGAAUAAGUCUACUCCUUUCCUCACGGCUGUCUGGUGGUUCGUGGCAGCAAUUCUUUCUGACAAAGUCCUGCAACACCAGGACUCAAAGUUAUGACUAAAAAGAAGUCAUGUCAAUGUGAGUGACCAAAUUCUUACUGCUGAAGUCCAAAGAUUUUCAAGGAAUGAAGCAAUUCAAGCAAGCAACUCCCCUCUGUCAAUGUGACAAGUUCCAAGUUAGAAUCAACCUUGGAUGAUUUGACCCAAACCAGAAGCUAUCUAUCCUUCAGUAGACAAUGCUGAUCUAAGCGCUGGCUCUGGAAAUUAGUUGGAUGAACUCGGUUGUCCUGCAUUUAAUUAGAGGUUUUCCUGGCUGGCCCAGGGAAUGUCACAGGGGAUAUUGUGAAAUAAAAAUUAUUCUAACUUUGAAAUCACAAGAUGAUUCCAUAAAUGAUAAGAAAAGUGAGAAGCCAAGUGAUUGAUUACACAAUUCAGAAUUAACAAUGAUGUGUAAAUCAAUACAUUGUUCAAUUACAUAUAAAAUUAACUCAGUUAUUCACGGACCAUUAACCCACUGGAUAACCAAUAUUGGUCCUUCUCACCGUCAUUAUGUCUGUUGGCCAUUUUACUUUUCAUUAACAAAGAGGGAGAGAGUAAAUAAAAAAUAGGGGCAUACCACUUAAAUUGAUUUAACACUAUUUGGUACUAUUAGUAAAAAAAUUAAAUCAAGGAGAUGAAAUAUUUACGCAAGAGUGGAUUUUCAUUAUUUGUACAGCUUCAUUUCUCCUAUGCACAGAAAAUUAACAGUUGGUUUUAACUGAGCAUGUUUUGGCAACACACAAGAAAGGGAGAAUUAUAAGUCAGAGAGGAGCAUGAGAAAGAGACAAAGAAAAAGACUCCUUGACCUUUUCAGUAAAGUGAAGGUUACUUGGAAUAACAUAGUAGCAAGCAUCUGAUUUCUAUUUCUACAACUUGAAGACAAAAGAAAAAGUUUAACCUAGAGGUAAACUCUAAUUUAAAAAACAAAAUCAUAUACUCAAUUAUUCUUCUCUAAAGUCCUGCCUUCACAGGAUACUUAGGGAUUAUCUACCUAGAAUAAGAUUAAUUCUCCAAGCACUUGAUUCCCCCAUUAUUAGAAAUACGGAAUAAAGAAUCACAUAACCUAAGUAUUACAAGAAACUCCAUCACUCGAAACAGGAAUCCUCUUUCCAACAUCUCUUGUUCCCCAGUUAUUCUGUGUGUGCCUGAACAAAGACAGACCCAUCAGCCCACUCCAUUCAAAAACAGCAAAGUGUUGUAAAAAGUCCCAACUUUGGAGACAGGAAGACUCUAUUCCCAUACUAAAUCUGCCAACUACUGGCUGUAUGACUAGAAAAAGCCUCAUUUGCUUUGUUUGCCUCAUUUUUAGAAAAAAAAAAGUCUCUUCUGUGUGCUGUAAAGAUUAUAUGAAAUCAUCCAGGGAAAUGCACCUUGCAAAGUGCCAGGCACUGAAUAUUUAUUUACCUUCCUUAGUCCUGAAAAAUACCUGCUCAGGUGACAAUCAACUUUGCUUUCUUUAAAAAAAAACUAGGCAAACAAAAAAAAAUCUUUAUGAUGUGCUCUUAGGUAUAAAAGUUGAGUAACAAACACUCAUUUUGCAUUUACUCAAAUUGGAGAAAAUCUAACAUCAAGCAAACAGCUUUAGGGGCCUGAGUUGAAAACUUCUGGGGCUGAAUGGAAUCAGUUCCUCAAAAUAACUGGAAGUAUGUGAUAUGUAGCACAUGAUCUAAAGUUUUCACUAGGAGAGCCUUAAAGAGCUAUCUUAUUUUACCUCUUUCCUUGUUAGACUUGAUGUUUUAUUUCACAGAUUCAUGGACCAGUAAAAGCUAGAAAGAAUUCAGAAUUUGAGCCCAAUCUCUUAAAGCCGAAGAUACUGAGGACCACAGCCUGGGAAGCCUGACUUCCUCGUCUUCCCCAACUUGAUGUCAUCAGAACUGCCCCGAACCUCACCUCCAAAUUCUUUCUAGCAGAAUGAGCAGGUAAAAACCAAACCUGCAGAGAAUGAUUCUACAAUCCUAAAACAGGCUUGCAGCCAAACCAAAUCGGUGUCUCUGAUAAAACACAAAACACUAGCACAGAGAACUGAAGACUAAUAGGUAAGAUGAAAAUUUAAAUAUCUGACAAAAUUGGUUUUUUUGCUUUUUAAUUUUUAAAUCCAAAAUAACAUUUUCAUAUGUAAUAUCUCAGAAUAAAAAAAAAUACUUGCCAUUUCAAAUGCACUCUGAAAG